UACAGAGGGGGCAAGCGUUAUUCGGAAUUAUUGGGCGUAAAGAGCUCGUAGGCGGCUGCUCAAGUCGAAUGUGAAAACUCGAGGCUCAACCUCGAGCCUGCAUUCGAUACUGGGCGGCUAGAGUCUGGUAGGGGGAUCUGGAAUUCCUGGUGUAGCGGUGGAAUGCGUAGAUAUCUGGAGGAAUACCGGUGGCGAAGGCGGCAUCCUGGACCGAGAUUGACGCUGAUGAGCGAAAGCUAGGGGAGCAAACGGG
rnacentral:rRNA from 1 species